rnacentral:rRNA from 1 species
GAGAGGAACUUGUUCCUCGAGUCGUUGAUUUCACACUGCCGAGAAAAGCCUCUAGCUAGAAUAACGGUGCCCGUACCGCAAACCGACACAGGUAGUCAAGAUGAGAAUUCUAAGGUGAGCGAGCGAACUCUCGUUAAGGAACUCGGCAAAAUGACCCCGUAACUUCGGGAGAAGGGGUGCUCUUUGAGGUUCACGCUUCGAAGAGCCGCAGUGAAUAGGCCCAAGCGACUGUUUAUCAAAAACACAGGUCUCUGCUAAACCGUAAGGUGACGUAUAGGGGCUGACGCCUGCCCGGUGCUGGAAGGUUAAGAGGAGUGGUUAGCGCAAGCGAAGCUACGAAUCGAAGCCCCAGUAAACGGCGGCCGUAACUAUAACGGUCCUAAGGUAGCGAAAUUCCUUGUCGGGUAAGUUCCGACCCGCACGAAAGGCGUAACGAUUUGGGCACUGUCUCAACGAGAGACUCGGUGAAAUCAUAGUACCGGUGAAGAUGCCGGUUACCCGCGACAGGACGGAAAGACCCCGUGGAGCUUUACUGUAGCCUGAUAUUGAAAUUCGGUACAGUUUGUACAGGAUAGGUAGGAGCCUUAGAAGCGUGAGCGCUAGCUUACGUGGAGGCAUUGGUGGGAUACUACCCUAAUUGUAUUGGAUUUCUAACCCGCAGCACUUAUCGUGCUGGGAGACAGUGUCAGGCGGGCAGUUUGACUGGGGCGGUCGCCUCCUAAAGAGUAACGGAGGCGCUCAAAGGUUCCCUCAGAAUGGUUGGAAAUCAUUCAUAGAGUGUAAAGGCAUAAGGGAGCUUGACUGCGAGACCUACAAGUCGAGCAGGGUCGAAAGACGGACUUAGUGAUCCGGUGGUUCCGCAUGGAAGGGCCAUCGCUCAACGGAUAAAAGCUACCCCGGGGAUAACAGGCUUAUCUCCCCCAAGAGUUCACAUCGACGGGGAGGUUUGGCACCUCGAUGUCGGCUCAUCGCAUCCUGGGGCUGUAGUCGGUCCCAAGGGUUGGGCUGUUCGCCCAUUAAAGCGGUACGCGAGCUGGGUUCAGAACGUCGUGAGACAGUUCGGUCCCUAUCCGUCGUGGGCGUAGGAAAUUUGAGAGGAGCUGUCCUUAGUACGAGAGGACCGGGAUGGACAUACCUCUGGUGUACCAGUUGUCGUGCCAACGGCAUAGCUGGGUAGCUAUGUAUGGACGGGAUAAGUGCUGAAAGCAUCUAAGCAUGAAGCCCCCCUCGAGAUGAGAUUUCCCAACUUCGGUUAUAAGAUCCCUCAAAGAUGAUGAGGUGAAUAGGUUCGAGGUGGAAGCGUAGCGAUACGUGGAGCUGACGAAUACUA